UCCACUGCAGUCUGAAAGCUAAGAGAAUAAAGUUUAUUAAAGAUGUUCCUACAGACAUCAAUAGAUCAAUGGAAUUCCACUAAGAUCGGUCUUUGCAUUAAAUUAGUUUAUGUGUUCACCAACAUCCACAGACAUCUCUAACCAACACCGCUGUGACUGCACGUGCCUCCUGGGUGGAUCGGCGACUUACGACGUACAAGUAAAUGAAACCGCUUUGGAGUCGCAGGUCUGCGAUGAACUUCGUACUGGGGCCCCGACAAAUGAACUGGACGUCCUCCUGCCCUCCACUCAUUACCUGUACUAACUGCACCUGUUUGAACUCGGCCCCCCUGCUAAGGGAGCGCAUCUCCAGGCCCGUCUGAAGUUUGCCAAUGACCAUCUGGAUGAUGCAGAGGAGCUAUGAGAGAAGGUCACGUGGUCUGAUGAGACGAAAAUAGAGCUUUUUGGUCUAAACUCCACUCGCUGAGAUUUGGAGGAAGAAGGAU
ensembl:lncRNA